CUCCCUUCGGGGACAUCCGAUAAAAUUGGAGAAGAUUAGCAUGGCCCCUGCGCAAGGAUGACACGCAUAAAUCGAGAAAUGGUCCAAAUUUUU
rnacentral:snRNA from 1 species